ensembl:lncRNA
GUUUAAAAUAACCUUCGCAUCAACUCUGGGAGUCCAAGGGGUCCUCACAAAUAAAUGGCUGGAAUGACUCACUAGGACAGUGGAGCAUUAAAACAAAAAGGGGGGCUCUGUGAAAGGUAAAAGCUGAUGCUUGGCACGGAUGCAGCUCUUUCCAGGCACCCUUCCUACCCCCUGGACCGGAUUUCUCUUCUGGCUGUCGCUGCUACCAGGAGCCCAUCCAUACUGGCCUGCGUUCCCAGUCACCCAAACCUCAACCUCCCUGCUCCCCAUCUUCCUCCCUCCCAUCUCUAGGCUCCCUUCCACUCUUCCUUAAGCUUACCAACACCCAGGAGGAUUUGCUUUGAUUUAGUCAGUUAGGAAAGAGAGGUGGAAGAGAGAAAUGGAGUUUAAAAACCUCCAUCCACUCACUAG